CAGCAGCCACGGUAAUACGUAGGUGGCAAGCGUAGUCCGGAAUUAUUGGGCGUAAAGGGCUCGCAGGCGGUUUCUUAAGUCUGAUGUGAAAGCCCCCGGCUCAACCGGGGAGGGUCAUUGGAAACUGGGAAACUUGAGUGCAGAAGAGGAGAGUGGAAUUCCACGUGUAGCGGUGAAAUGCGUAGAGAUGUGGAGGAACACCAGUGGCGAAGGCGACUCUCUGGCCUGUAACUGACGCUGAGGGGCGAAAGCGUGGGGAGCGAACAGGAUUAGAUACCCCUGUAGUCCCUGUCUCUUAUAC
rnacentral:rRNA from 1 species